UACAGAGGGUGCGAGCGUUGUUCGGAAUUAUUGGGCGUAAAGCGCGUGCAGGCGGUUAUGUAUGUCAGGUGUGAAAUCCCUCGGCUUAACUGAGGAAGUGCACUUGAAACUACAAAACUAGAGUACAAGAGAGGAAGGUGGAAUUCCCAGUGUAGAGGUGAAAUUCGUAGAUAUUGGGAGGAACACCGGUGGCGAAAGCGGCCUUCUGGCUUGAUACUGACGCUGAGACGCGAAAGCGUGGGGAGCAAACAGG
rnacentral:rRNA from 1 species